CAGUAGCCGCGGGAAUACGAAGGGUGCAAGCGUUACUCGGAAUUACUGGGCGUAAAGCGUGCGUAGGCGGCUAAUUGAGUCGGAUGUGAAAUCCCCGAGCUUAACUUGGGAAUUGCAUUCGAUACUGGUUAGCUAGAGUGUGGGAGAGGAUGGUAGAAUUCCAGGUGUAGCGGUGAAAUGCGUAGAGAUCUGGAGGAAUACCGAUGGCGAAGGCAGCCAUCUGGCCUAACACUGACGCUGAGGUACGAAAGCAUGGGGAGCAAACAGGAUUAGAUACCCCUGUAGUCCCUGUCUCUUAUAC
rnacentral:rRNA from 1 species